GGAUUAGAUACCCUGGUAGUCCACGCCGUAAACGAUGUCAACUAGCCGUUGGGGGUCUUCGUACCCUUAGUGGCGCAGCUAACGCAUUAAGUUGACCGCCUGGGGAGUACGGUCGCAAGACUAAAACUCAAAGGAAUUGACGGGGGCCCGCACAAGCGGUGGAGCAUGUGGUUUAAUUCGAUGCAACGCGAAGAACCUUACCAGCUCUUGACAUCUUCGGAACUUUCUAGAGAUAGAUUGGUGCCUUCGGGAACCGAAUGACAGGUGCUGCAUGGCUGUCGUCAGCUCGUGCCG
rnacentral:rRNA from 1 species